CACGAACCGUGCGAACGUUAUUCGGAAUUACUGGGCUUAAAGAGUUCGUAGGCGGCGUGUUAAGUUGGGUGUGAAAUCCCUUGGCUCAACCAAGGAAUUGCACUCAAAACUAGCAUGCUUGAGGAAGACAGGGGUAAGCGGAACUGAUGGUGGAGCGGUGAAAUGCGUAGAUAUCAUCAGGAACACCGGUGGCGAAGGCGGCUUACUGGGUCUUUUCUGACGCUGAGGAACGAAAGCUAGGGGAGCGAACGGG
rnacentral:rRNA from 1 species